AGUGAACGCUGGCGGUAGGCCUAACACAUGCAAGUCGAACGGCAGCACAGUAAGAGCUUGCUCUUACGGGUGGCGAGUGGCGGACGGGUGAGGAAUACAUCGGAAUCUACUUUUUCGUGGGGGAUAACGUAGGGAAACUUACGCUAAUACCGCAUACGACCUACGGGUGAAAGCAGGGGAUCUUCGGACCUUGCGCGAUUGAAUGAGCCGAUGUCGGAUUAGCUAGUUGGGGGGGUAAAGGCCCACCAAGGGGACGAUCCGUAGCUGGUCUGAGAGGAUGAUAAGCCACACUGGAACGGAGACACGGUCCAGACUCCUAAGGGAGGCAGCAGUGGGGAAUAUUGGACAAUGGGCGCAAGCCUGAUCCAGCCAUCCCGCGUGGGUGAAGAAGGCCUUCGGGUUGUAAAGCCCUUUUGUUGGGAAAGAAAAGCAGCAGGUUAAUACCCCGCUGUUCUGACGGUACCCAAAGAAUAAGCACCGGCUAACUUCGUG
rnacentral:rRNA from 1 species